AGUGAACGCUGGCGGCAUGCCUAAUACAUGCAAGUCGAACGCCAGCACAGUAAGAUCCUGUUCUUACUGAUGGCGGGUGGCGGGCGGGUCACGUAUGCAUCCGACCUGACUUUUUCGUGGAAGAUUUCGUAGCGAAACCUACGCCAACAUGACAUCCGUUAUUCCGGGAUAAGUAUUUGAUCUUCGCACCUGCUCCGAUACCAGAUGCCGAUGCCGGGUUUGCUAGUUGUGGGGGUAAAGGCCCACCAAGGCGAGGAUCCGUAGCGGCCCUGAGAGGAUGAUCAGCCACACUGGAACUGGGAAACGGUCAAGACUCCUAGGGGAGGCAGCAGUGGGGAAUAUUGGACAAUGGGCGCAAGCCUGCUCCAGCAAUCCCGCGUGGGGGAGGAAGGCCUUCGGGUGGUAAAGCCCUUUUGUUGGGAAAGAAAAGUGGGAGAGUGGAACGCCGACGUUCUGACGGUACCCAACCAGAAAGCACCGGCUAACUUCGUG
rnacentral:rRNA from 1 species